UACAGAGGGGGCAAGCGUUAUUCGGAAUUAUUGGGCGUAAAGGGCGCGUAGGCGGCUUGGCAAGUGGAUGGUGAAAUCCCUCGGCUUAACCGAGGAACUGCCGUCCAAACUGCUUCGCUUGAGACCGGGAGAGGUGAGUGGAAUUCCCAGUGUAGCGGUGAAAUGCGUAGAUAUUGGGAGGAACACCAGUGGCGAAGGCGGCUCACUGGACCGGUACUGACGCUCAUGCACGAAAGCGUGGGGAGCAAACAGG
rnacentral:rRNA from 1 species